UUAGAGAGGAGGAGGGAGGACUAUUCUAGUACAGCUACAAUAGAGAGGAGGAGGAGAGAGAACCAGUCUAGUGCAGCUACAUUAGAGAGGCGGAGGAGGGAGAACCAGUCUAGUACAGCUCCAUUAAAGAGGAGGGAGAUCCAUUCUAGUAUAGCUACAUUAGAGAGGAGGAGGGAGAACCAGUCUAGUAAAGCUACAUUAAAGAGUAGGAGGAGGGGGAACCAGUCUAGUACAGCUACAUUAGAGUGGAGGAGGAGAGAGAACCAGUCUAGUACAGCUACAUUUGGGAGGAGGAGGAGGGAGAACCAGUCUAGUACAGCUCCAUUAAAGAGGAGGGAGAUCCAGUCUAGUAUAGCUACAUUAGAGAGGAGGAGGGAGAACCAGUCUAGUAAUGCUACAUUAAAGAUGAGAAGGGAGAACCAGUCUAGUAUAGCUACAUUAAAGAGGAGGAGGAGGGAAAACCAGUCUAGUAUAAAUACAUUAGAGAGGAGGAGGAGGGAGAACCAGUCUAGUAUAGCUACAUUAGAGAGGAGGAGGAGGGAGAACCAGUCUAGUACAGUUACAUUAAAGAGGAGGAGGAGGGAGAACCAGUCUAUGGUAGAUACAUUAGAGAGGAGGAGGAGGGACAACCAGUCUAGUAUAGAUACAUUAUUGAGAAUAGGAGAAGGGAAAACCAGGAUAGUAUAGAUACAUUAGAGAGGAGGACGGAAACCCAGUCUAGUACAGCUACAUUAGAGAGGCGGGAGAUCCAGUCUAGUAUAGCUACAUUAGAGAGGAGGAGCGAGGACCAUUCUAGUACAGCUAUAUUAGAGUGGAGGAGGAGAGAGAACCAGUCUAGUACAGCUCCAUUAGAGAGGAGGGAGAUCCAGUCUAGUAUAGCUACAUUAGAGAGGAGGAGGGAGGACCAUUCUAGUACAGCUAUAUUAGAGUGGAGGAGGAGAGAGAACCAGUCUAGUACAGCUACAUUAGGGAGGAGGAGGAGGGAGAACCAGUCUAGUACAGCUACAUUAAAGAGGAGGAGGAGGGAAAACCAGUCUAGUAUAAAUACAUUAGAGAGGAGGAGGAGGGAGACCAGCCUAGUAUAGCUACAUUAGAGAGGAGGAGGAGGGAGAACCAGUCUAGUAUAGCUACAUUAGAGAGGAGGAGGAGGGAGAACCAGUCUAGUACAGCUCCAUUAAAGAUGAGCGAGAUCCAGUCUAGUAUAGCUACAUUAGAGAGGAGGAGGAGGGAGAACCAGUCUAGUAUAGAUACAUUAGAGAGGAGGAGGAGGGAGAACCAGUCUAGUAUAGCUACAUUAGAGAGGAGGAGGAGGGAGUACCAGUGUAGUAC
ensembl:lncRNA